rnacentral:rRNA from 1 species
UACAGAGGGUGCAAGCGUUAAUCGGAAUUACUGGGCGUAAAGCGUGCGUAGACGGUUGCGUAAGUCAGAUGUGAAAGCCCCGGGCUCAACCUGGGAAUUGCAUUUGAGACUGCGUAGCUAGGGUGCGGAAGAGGGAAGCGGAAUUUCCGGUGUAGCGGUGAAAUGCGUAGAUAUCAGGAGGAACACCGGUGGCGAAGGCGGAUCUCUGGGCCUUACCUGACGCUCAGGUGCGAAAGCUAGGGGAGCGAACAGG